UUCUCUAAGAAAACAAUUAGAGUAAAACCUGCUCAAUGUUCAAUAAAUGGCCGCAGUCAACCUGUGCUAAGGUAGCAUAAUAAUUUGCUUCUCAAUUAGAAGAUAGAAUGAACGGUUAAACACUUAAACAAAUGUCUCUUAAGAAUAAAACUAACUUAAGUCAAAAGUAAAAACUCUUUUACAUAUAAGUGGGACGACAAGACCCUAAUAAACUAUCCUUUUAGUUGGGGAAACAUUUUAAUUAACCUUUAAAACAUCAACAACCAAACAUCACCAUAAUAUAAAGAAAAGUUACUAUAGGGAUAACAGCGCAAUUUCUCUCAAAAGACCACAUCUAAAGAGAAGAUUACGACCUCGAUGUUGAAUUAGUCAUCCCAAUGCGGCGCAAAAGCCUAUAAGGGUAGUCUGUUCGACUAUUAAAAACCU
rnacentral:rRNA from 1 species